GGCCUCGGGGGGAAGUAUGCUCGCAAGAGUGAAACUUAAAGGAAUUGACGGAAGGGCACCACAAGAUGUGGAGCCUGCGGCUUAAUUUGAUUCAACACGGGAAAACUUACCAGGUCCAGACAUAGUAAGGAUUGACAGAUUAAAGUUCUUUCUUGAUUCUAUGCAUGGUGGUGCAUGGCCGUUCUUAGUUCCUAGGGUGACCCCUCUGGUUAAUUCCGAUAACGGACGAGACCCCACCCAUCUAACUAGCCGGCGCUAACCCGGCGCCCAGCGCCCGUUAGCGGGGUGCAGCAUUGCGCGCCCGGCUUCUUAGAGGGACUAUCUGUGUCUCCAGCAGAUGGAAGAUUGGGGCAAUAACAGGUCAGGAUGCCCUUAGAUGCUCUGGGCUGCACGCGCGCUACAAUGAUGCGUUCAACGAGUUUGACCCGGCUUGACAAGGCCGGGUAAUCUUCAACGCGCAUCCAAGUGGGGAUAGAUGAUUGCAAUUGUUCAUCUUGAACAAGGAAUAUCUAGUAAACGCAAGUCAUCAACUUGCAUUGAUUACGUCCCUGCCCUUUGUACACACCGCCCGUCGCCUUCUACCGAUUGAAUAAUGAGGUGAAUUAGGUGGAUAAGAGCCGCCUCGGCGCGUUCUUAAAAGCUUUGUGAACCCUUGUUAUUUAGAGGAAAGACAAGUCGUA
rnacentral:rRNA from 1 species